UGGAGAUCGGGGCUGGGGGGCGGUGUUUGUGUUGGAAAAUCCAACUGCGCCACGGGGCGGAGCGGCCCCCCCAGCCCCGUCCUGGGAGAGGGGGGGGCCGCUCGACCCCCUGGACGACCUUGGGGAGCCUGAACACCUGGGACACCCCAGAAGCAGGUUCCCCCAGGCACCAUGCCAGCCCCGUAGAACCACCCACCCCACCCACUGUGGUCUGCUCCACCCCGUUGCUGGGGCACUGGUUCCAAUGAGACAGGGCAUGCCAAACUCCAUCUGGCUGUUACUGAGGCGGAGACACGGGUGAUGAUUGGCUUUCUGGGGACGAGAGCAAGUCCUGUGAAUUGGCCGGGUCUCCCGGAGCCUCACCGACGCCGGGACGACGGG